GAUGAAGAACGUAGCGAAAUGCGAUACUUGGUGUGAAUUGCAGAAUCCCGUGAACCAUCGAGUCUUUGAACGCAAGUUGCGCCCGAAGCCAUCAGGUUGAGGGCACGUCUGCCUGGGCGUCACAUAUCGUUGCUCGAUGCCUAUCGCAUUGCGAUAGGACUUAGGGCGAAUGAUGGCUUCCCGUGAGCGUUGUUGCCUCGCGGUUGGUUGAAAAUCGAGUCCUUGGUAGGGUGUGCCAUGAUAGAUGGUGGUUGAGUGACGAGCGAGACCCAAUCAUGUGAGACCCCUACCGAAUUUGGCCUUCAUGACCCACAUGCGUCUUUGGAACGCUCAUGACGAGACCUCAGGUCAGGCGGGGCUACCCGCUGAGUUUAAGCAUAUCAAUAAGCGGAGGA
rnacentral:misc_RNA from 1 species